rnacentral:rRNA from 1 species
GAAUCCCGUCUUUGGCACGGAUGCCUGGUGCUUCUGUGAUGCGCUCUCGAAGAGUCGAGUUGUUUGGGAAUGCAGCUCAAAAUGGGUGGUGAACUCCAUCUAAAGCUAAAUAUUGGCGAGAGACCGAUAGCGAACAGGUACCGUGAGGGAAAGAUGAAAAGCACUUUGGAAAGAGAGUGAAACAGUACGUGAAAUUGUUGAAAGGGAAACGCUUGAAGUCAGUCGCGUCGGCCGAGACUCAGCCUUGCCUCGGUUUGGUGUACUUCUUGACCGACGGGUCAGCAUCAAUUUUGCCCCUUGGAUAAUGGCGAGGGAAAUGUGACACCUUUAUAGGUGUGUUAUAGUCUCUCGUCGCAUGCAAGGGUCGGGAUUGAGGAACUCAGCACGCGCCUUCGGGCGUCGGGGCCUUGCCCACGAUACGUGCUUAGGAUGUUGGCGUAAUGGCUUUAAACGACCCGUCUUGAAACACGGACCAAGGAGUCUAACAUGCCCGCGAGUGUUCGGGUGGAAAACCCGUGCGCGCAAUGAAAGUGAAAGUUGGGACCUCUGUCGCGGAGGGCACCGACGCCCGGACCAGAGCUUCUGCGACGGAUCUGCGGUGGAGCGUGUAUGUUAGGACCCGAAAGAUGGUGAACUAUGCCUGAAUAGGGUGAAGCCAGAGGAAACUCUGGUGGAGGCUCGUAGCGAUUCUGACGUGCAAAUCGAUCGUCAAAUUUGGGUAUAGGGGCGAAAGACUAAUCGAACCAUCUAGUAGCUGGUUCCUGCC